ensembl:lncRNA
ACGCCCUGGGUGACCCGGGAGGCCCAGAGCGUGACUCGUCUUUCCCUUGGGCAGGCUCCAGUGGCCUCGACGCAGAAAGCCCAGCUCAGAUGGAGCGAGGGGACAGGCUGCGUGUGGGCGAUCGCAGGGAGAGGAGAGAGAGGGGAACGCCUGACGCCUCUGGCACAGGUUCUGCUGACCUCAGACCCCAGGUGUUUAUUAAAACGGAGCAGGAAGAGGAGCCGUGCACGGGGGGGCCCCCAGAGCAGAGAGAGACAGGAAUUCUCCAUGCCCCUGGCACAGGCACAGGCUGGCCUGACGUGAAGCAUGAGAUUGUGGUGAAAGUGGAGCCAGAUGACGAGUCAUAUGUGGGGUAUCCCCAAGGCCUGGGGGACCGAGACCUCCCCGGCUACCCCAGCACUGGUAUCAAAGCAGAGAUUGUGGUCAAAAUGGAGCCCGAGGACGAUGCCUAUGGCGAGUGUGCCCAGCAUUACGGUGAAGGAGACGGUCCCAACGACCCCUUCUGUGAUGCAAACCCAGAGAUUAUCGUGAAAGUGGAGCCAGAUGAUGAGUCGGCCAUUGGCUAUCCCCAGGGCCUGAGCGAAGGCAGAAUUCCCGGCUACCCCAGCCCAGAUCAUAACAAGAAACAUUUGGAUGCGGUAGCAGCACAGGAACAUUUGGCCAAGGCUUCAACAAAAAAAUCAAGUCUGCCCCCCAUGAUUGAUAGCCGAUUUACGGAAAAGGAUCUCAACGACGUCUUUACUUUUGAAUUUGAAAAGUCCAAAUUUGGGCUUUUGGGAAAAGCCAAGAAGAAAUCGGCAACAUGCAAGGUGGAAAAGGAAGUGAAUGGAGAGCUCAAAACAUGUAGCUUCAAGACAAGUGAAGCAAGUGCCGUGAAAAGUUUCAACCUUUGGCGGCAUGUAAAACGUAACCAUCCUGAAAACUAUGCUGCUCUGGUUACAAAAAAGGAUCAGGAAGAUGAGGCAAAACCAAAAGCUGACGCGGCUAAACGAUGUUCAUCUGGCUCUUUGAAAACUCCUGGAGAAAAGAUUUUUUGCAGAGCUUCAUCCAAAAAGAAACCCAAAAUUGAGCAAACAAAACUUGCCUCAUAUUUGAAGUCCUCAAAUGUUACAGUCACCAUGGAUGCCAAUACUUUCCGUGAAGGGCUGAUGGAAAUGGUUUGCUUGAGUUCAACACCGCUCACUACCUUCGGGCUAAAGAACAAAGGAUUCCAAAAAAUUGCAGGUGAAAUGGGUCGGCAGCUUGGCGUUUCGAUGGGGCAUGAUGCGGUUCGUCAUUUAGUUGUCAGCACAGCUGAGUCUGGCCGCAAAGAGCUCAAGAAAGCUUUGGAGCAAAAAUUGUGCUACCUGAAAAUGGAUGCGGCAACCCGUGGAAACAGAAAUUUCCUUGCAAUCAAUGCUCAGUACUAUGAAGAAGGCAAAGAUAAAGCUGUGAUAAAAACUUUGGACAUAAUCGACACUGAAGGGUGUCACAAUUCUUCGUACGUGAAAGCUCAAGUAAAAACUAUUUUAGAAAAAUUUGGAAUCAGUGAAAUGCAAGUGUUGAGCAUCUGCGUUGACAAUGCAGCAAACAUGAUGUGUGCUGUCAAAAAUGUCAGCGAGGACAAUGAAACCAUUUCUACCUCUGAGAACAGGGAUGUGGACAGAACUGAAGCUAUUUUGCCUGAUGAAGGAACUAAAGGAAUUGAUGAAAUUGAACUCAAUGUGGAUGCUGCUGCGCAAUGGGCUAAUGACCCUAGUCUCAUACUUCCAACAUGGCUUCAUGAGGACGACUCAAAAGUCCAGCUGAUGAGGUGUGGUAUUCACACUCUUCAGUUGGCAAUCUGGGAUGGACUGAACAAAGAACAUGCGAAGAAAUUUCUGGCAAAAAUUCGACAAGUCGUUCUCAAACUACGAACCCCAAGUAUUCAAAGUGUUCUGCUUGAUCUACAUGGGAUAACUCAGUCAUUGGAUACUGUGACUUGCUGGGGUUCAACAUUUGCGAUGGUUGAUCAGCUUCUUGUUUUUCAAUCUUACUGUGAACAAGUGGCUGCUGCUGGAACGAGAGAACUCAAGUUAACAAAAGCUGAAUGGGACGAAGUGAAGAACCUGCGAGACCUCUUGGCAAAGCCAAACCAAACAACCAUGAAUCUUCAAGCUGUUAAUGUAACCCCGGGAGUUUUAAUGAAGGAAUGGCGAAAACUGUCAAAAUUCUUGCAAGGAAACGGUGGACAGAUUGCAGAAGGAAUUCUAUCCUCCAUGCAGAAACACGAAGAGAAGCUUUUUAACAAUAUUCAUUUUCUUGCUGGAGUUUAUGUUGACCCACGGUAUCGGAUUCUUCUUACCUCAAGGGAAAUACCAAAGGCAAAGGAAGGCCUCCUUGAUAUUGCUCGACGACUUGAAAAACAAAAUCUGUUGCUACAUUUGAACUUGGCGAAAGAGGUUGAAGAAANCUGCUGUUUCAGAAAGUUCACAUCUUUCAAAAAUAGGCUGUUCUCAAACUUCUGUCUCCACUCUGAACUUAUUCGAGCGUCCAUCCCUGAGACGUCUUCAGCCAUCAUGGGGAAAUGGCGAUAAUUCAAGCAUCAAUUCUUCAGAAGAUGACGACUUUGAAAAGGAAUUGGAUAAACAAGAAAGACGCCGGCGAGUUUCUGCCAUUCAUAAUUGUAAUGAAGCAUUAUUUGAGAGAAACUUUCGGGAUGAUUGUGAGGCAAUGGAGUCUAUUGGUAGGCUAAAAGUUAAGUCUGUUUUUGAGGCCAUUCACAGCUACCCACACCGCAUUCAGGCUGCCUGUAGAAUUGCUUCGAGCAUGCCAACAACUCAAGCUAGUGUAGAGCGACUGUUUUCGGCUUUAAAGUNGGGCUGCCUGUAGAAUUGCUUCGAGCGUGCCAACAACUCAAGCUAGUGUAGAGCGACUGUUUUCGGCUUUAAAGUUAAUUUUAAAUGAUUUGCGGCAGACUAUGAAAGACGACUUGAUUGCUGCAAUAAUUUUUUACAGAAUGAAUUAUGAAUGAUUCUAGUUUAUAUCAUUGUUGAUGACAUUUAAAUUGUUUUCAAAGUCUGAAUAUAAAUAGUUUUUUUCAAAAUUACAGUAUGAACUUUUUUAUUUAGUUAAUAAUUCAUUUGAGUCAGAGCACGGAGCGAGUCGGAGCGGAGCUGGAGCAGUCACUAUUGGUGCCGGAGCGGAGCUGGAGCAGAGAAAUUAAAAAAUUGUAUUGCUCCAAAUCCCUGAUUUGAAUCAAGGAGAGCUUGACAGAAAUCAAAAAUUAAUUAAUCUAGUAAAUUAGAAAUGUAUUCACCAGUUUCUAAUAAAAAUGUAAAAUGUAAGAAUUUGAAUAAAUGU